GUACGAGGUAUAUGGAAAAUGCGUACAUGCUCAACUGUGGAGUGGGAGGUUACUGGUAAGGUGUAUUCGGGAAAUUGAAGGGUGAAUCCGCGGAGUAAACAGUGAGUUAUAUUCAGGCAAAGCAAAAGCCGCAAACAGUCAUUGAUGGAUCCCAAUGAAGCUCCAUUAUCAACUUCUCCGUCAAACUUCAAUUUCAGCCAGCAACGUCAUUUUUACCUAGCCGUCGACAGAUUUCAGUUCAAAAUGGAGACUUUGGUGGAUCUGUUGGGGAUGGCUGGCCGGCUUCGGUGUUUACCUAUUGUAGUUAGCUGCAGCACUCGUGACGAGCUCGACGCUGUCUGUUCCGCCCUUUCUACUCUCUCACAUAUUACAAUUGCCGCUCUGUACAGUGAUCUUGCUGAAGCGGAACGUGCAAGGGUUUUAGCUAGGUUUAGACAGGCUACAAUGAGGUGGAACAAGCAGGCUACAACUGAACAUGGAGAUGCAGGGGAAACAGAGAAAGAAGAGGAGAAAUCUAAUUUGAUAGUUGUCACGGAUGCUUGCCUUCCCCUUGUUAACUCUGGCGAAUCACCUGUCAAUGCUCGUGUCUUGAUUAAUUAUGAGCUACCAACAAAGAAGGAAACAUAUAUGAGGCGCAUGGCUACUUGUUUGGCAGCAGAUGGAAUUGCGAUCAACAUGGUUGUUGGAGGCGAAGUUGUUACUAUCAAAAGCAUUGAAGAAAAUAGUGGCCUUCUCAUAGCAGAAAUGCCCAUCAAUAUUUUUGAGAUGCUGUGAAGGGAUGAAGCCAUGCAAAUGUCAUCUAAACACAUGAGAUUCCAAGUAAUUAGUGCUUUGUCAAUUGUAUGGGCACAAAUGAGGGUUGAUGACCUGGCCAUUUUUCUUGGGGCGUAGGUUUGGAUGAAUGUGAUAUUCAUCUUCAAGAUGAUUUCAGUUCUGGCAUAACAUAGCUCCUUGCCUAUGUCAAUAGGAACGGGGCUAUACAAAUUUAUUAGCAAUCUGAAGGUACUCUACAUGAGAUGUGAAUUAGGGAAGGUUCAAAUGGUCGCUACGUUUAAGUUGGAGCAACUGGGGUCUUCCACACGUAAAACCUUUAUUGGGCCUUGCCAAUUUACUUCAGUUCAUUUAUGCAUGAUGUCCAAUGUUGAUUAUAUAAAUGGUAGUGAGGAGAUUGCAUUCUUGAUUUCAACCCUCCAAGGGGUUAUGCCCUAGAAGGGUCCUGUUAUCUUGAAACUUAGGGAUUGGUGAUGCUUUGGUGCCGGUCAAUCUUUCUAGAUGAUCUGUGGAGUUCUUGUUCUUGGCUUUAGUCAUUUCCAUAGCUUCACUUUUCAAUUUUUACUUGAAUAGUCCACUAUCUUUCACAAAUGCGGCCAUUGAACUUGGUUAGCUGUAGCCACUGGCACAUUAUCACAGUUUUCCGUCACGGGUCAUAUUGCAUGAGAAAGGGGAGGGACAACCUAUAUACUUUGCUGCCAACUGAUAUGGCCUUUACUUUGAAAUUACAAGAUUUUGACUUGGAGGACUUUUAGUGUUACUGUUGUUGAACUUUAAUGAAUUGAUCAUCUAAUAGGCAUAGAGCUGGAAACCGUAUUAAGUGUUUGUAAUGUUGUAAUUCCAAUUUUCUGAGAGAAGAGAAGUUGAUAGAAGGAAAAGAGAAUCAUAGUAUAAAGACAAGAGAGAACAACUUCUUUAAUUUACUAGUAUGUAUUAUUAUCUUAGUCAGUUUGCUCAAAGUCUUCA